GCAAGUCGAGCGCUUCCCUUCGGGGAGGAGCGGCGGACGGGUUAGUAACGCGUGGGAACAUACCCUUUUCUACGGAAUAGCCUUUGGAAACGAAGAGUAAUACCGUAUACGCCCUUCGGGGGAAAGAUUUAUCGGUUAAGGAUUGGCCCGCGUUAGAUUAGAUAGUUGGUGGGGUAACGGCCUACCAAGUCUACGAUCUAUAGCUGGUUUGAGAGGAUGAUC
rnacentral:rRNA from 1 species